GCCGUGUUUGCGGAUAGCGAGUAGGAUUGGCUGUCAGGAAUGAUCGGUCCGGCGAAGCAGUAGGAGGUUCGAGGCGCCAUUUUGGCAGGUUGUGAGAGCCUUCUGUCGCCGUGAGCCGAGCUGUCGUUCGCCCAGCUGAGCCCUUUACGCGCGCGCGAGAGAGCUCUUUCGGCUGGAUCGAAUCGGGAAGGCAAAAUUAGACCGGCGCUCACAAAAUUAAAAAAAUUCGGAAAGAACUGACGGAAAACAGUUCUGCGUAUUGUAAUUUUUCUUUUCCUGUCGGUGUUCUUGGUUUCGAGUAUAACGGAAGAAUCAGAUUGAAAAGUACGUAAGCUUCAAAAAGUUCCAGUGUGACAGAAGUAACGACACUAUGGCGGGACAGACAAUCAACGAUAGACUAUUGGCAGCGAGACAUAGCAUCGCCGGCCAGGGUCUUGCUAAAGCUGUAUGCAAAGCUACUACAGAAGAGAU